GGCUCACUUUGCCCAGGCUGACCUGGAACUCGAGAUCUCCUGCCUCCACCUCCUGAGGAACUGGGAUUACAGGUGUGCACUACCACACUCAGCACCACGCUCAUUUUUACAUUGAAUUAUAAGACCUGGUUUCUGAAGAGCAAACUGAUUCCACAUGAUCAAGACUCGUCACCCUCCUAACAACUGCUAGGAUGGAGGAGAUACAGACUUUGUGAAGGAUUUUGGUGUCACAUCUAUGAGGGGAAAUGGCAUAUUUCUCUUGAUUUCCUGCGUCUUCUUCAUGGGGUAGUGAAAGCCUCAUCAAAUAAUGUCGCUCUCUCCCAUGUUUCUGCUUAUUUGGGGUGCUGGGCACGGAACCCAGGGUAUUACGCAUGCCAGGCAAGUGCUCCACCCUGGGCUGCAUCCCAAGCCCUUGUUCCCAAAGGUUUGUGUAACAUUGGGGGUCCUUCUUUUUCAGAUCUCGGCAUUCUCAUUCCCGGCCUCCCCAAAAUCCACCGUUCAGAGCUGGCAUUCGAUUCUCUGCCAUGACUUCAGGGGUGGGGAGGAGAGGGACUGUGCUUCCUGUGAGUCUGACCUGUGCUGCGUCCACACGCUUUAUGGUACACAAUCAACAUGAUAACUUUACCCCUAUUUUACAGAUGAAGGAACUGAGGCUCAGAGAGGGAAAGUCGUUUCCCUAAGGUUGCAUGGGCUAGAGGCUGCAUUGGAAAUCCUGCCUGAGUGGCCUCAGAACACAGGAACCCUCUCGAAAGCAGAAAUGCAGGACACUCACUCUCGUGUGUGGUUGGUGUUCCUAUAACAAAAGACCUAAGGCUGGGUACUUUAUAAAAAUAAAAAAGGUGUACUUAGCUCAUAGCUCUGGAAGUUCAAGAGCAUGGCAGGAGCAACAUCAGCUUCUGGUGAGGAACUCGCAGCAGACAGCAUCAUAUGGUGGGAGUAUGUGUGAGAGAGAAAGAGAAACGGAGAGAGUGGGAGAGAGAGAGAGAGAGAGUCACAUUCAAGAGGGUGAGCCAAGGUCAAACUUGCUUUAUAGCAACCCAUUCUCCUACUAACAGACCCAGUCCAUGAGACCUGACCCACUCCCUUGAGAGGGUCAUUAAUCCCUUCCAGGGGAGGUGCCUGUGACCCAGUCACUUGCAAGAGGCCCCACCUCUUAAAGUUUCCGCCAUCCUUCAACACCAACACAGCGGGGUCAGGUCACCAGCCUUUGGGGGACACAACACACCCAACUCACAGCACCUGGAACCUCAGAAUGAGGCUGGGCUUGUCAGCUGUCUCUCACGGGGUGGUUGACUCCUUUCUUUUUUGCUGUGUUGUCUGAGGUCAAACUUGGCCAGAGCCUGUGGAUCCCAUCUGGGCUGGAUGUUGAGUACAGUAGGAACAGGACCUGGUGACUACUCCAUAGCACCAGGAAGUCCCCACGAAUAUGACACCGCCUCCACCCUUCCUCACCCCAGCCAUGCCCUGUCACACCUCAGAUGCACCCAGCAGGCUCUGGCCCUUCUCCGCUCGGGCUGGGCCUCCCAAGCCUGGAGCUGGCCUGAAUUUCUUAUGCCUUCAGCCUCCCCCCCGUCCCUUCUUCCCGUACCCCGGCCCCCCUCUGCCAGCAUCACCUCCUGUCACUCCAGCCAUCAGGGCCAGUGUAAUCAGGUCACAGAAUAGAAGAACUGGCGUCUACAGUCCACCUGCAAGAAUCAUGGCAAUGGCCACCUGACAAAGCCACUCUGAUAGUCAUCUCACCGUGAGCAGGAUGCAAUGAAGGCAAAAGCAGGAAAGGUACGGCUUGUCCAUGGUUCAAAGGGUCUAGGGCAACUGGACUCCAGGGUGAGCGAGGGUCAGUGUGAGGGUCAACAAUGAGAUGUGACAGAGUCCCCUCCAAGUUGCUGCGUCAGAAACACAGUCACCAAUCCAGCAGGGUUGAGGUGAGGCCUCUUAAGUGCUUGGACCUCGUGAACGGUGAAUGCCACAGUAAAAAGAGCUCGCAAGGUGGAUGUGCCGUCUCUUGCCCCUCUGCCUGCUGCCACGUGGGGACACAGAAGCCCAGAUGCCUUACCAGACCUGAUGCUGGACACCCAGCCUCCAGAGAUGAACCCAAAAAAUGCAGGCUUUGGAGUAAGCAGCCCCGGCUGGAGCGCAUGGGGCAUGUCUCUCAACUUCUCUGUGCCUUUCUUCAUCUCGGCAUCUUUAAAAUGGAAGGGGGGUCACUGUGUGUGAGGGUCUCAGCCCUUGCAAUCAGCCUCCACACGUCCUACUUGGGGUGACUAUGUGGUUGGAGUGGAUAUGACCUCUGCAGAGCUGGGCUCCCCAGUAGCUCACACCUGUAAUCUCUACCUGGAGGCAGAGAUCAGGAGAAUGAAGGUUCAAAUUCAGCCCAGGCAAAUAGUUUGUAAGAUCCUAUCUCAUUAA